UCCUCGCUAGUAUAUCGGUUAGUAUAUUCGCCUCUCAGUAGAGAGCCGCUCGGGCUGCUGUAGCACGACGUGAUCGCGAAAGAGCAGGGUUCAACUCCCUGGCGGGGAA